rnacentral:lncRNA from 1 species
UGACGGGAUCGAUAGAUAAGGUAGGGAUUGACAAUGUGAGAACUCGUGAAGGAUGCGGACAAUAUUUCAGGUAAUCUAAGCUUAAUGAGUAGAUCAUAUCAGAUAAAGUGACAUAAUUUUGGCGACAUUAUAUGACGACGUGCUUACUUCAUCUGAUAAAGAUUUUACCACUCAUCAAAGUUCAUAUUUUUACAGUUGGGAG